rnacentral:tRNA from 1 species
GGGAAUGUGUCCUAAUGGUAGAGUGCUUGCCUAGCAUGCAAGAAUCCCUGGGUUCCAUUCCUCAUUACCA